UACGUAGGGUGCAAGCGUUUAAUCGGAAUUACUGGGCGUAAAGAGCGCGUAGGCGGCUCGUUAAGUGUGAAGCUAAAUCUCCAGGCUCAACCUGGAACUAUUUCGCAUACUGGCGGGCUGGAGUGAUGCAGAGGUGGAUAGAAUUCCCGGUGUAGCGGUGAAAUGCGUUGAUAUCGGGAGGAAUACCCGUGGCGAAGGCGGUCCACUGGGCAUCAACUGACGCUGAGGCGCGAAAGCGUGGGUAGCAAACAGG
rnacentral:rRNA from 1 species